AUGACACAACCCCACAUGGGCCGGCCUCGCCCCCUACAGAUACUCCUCACUACAAAUCGGCUCUCUCGGGGGAUUAGUGGCUCCGCGAAAGUGCACACGGGCACGGCGGGCGGGCGAGGGGGCCGGGCGCGGCGGGCACUCCCCGGCCUGGCCCCGCCCGGGAGGCCCUGGAGACGCGCUGGGGCCUCGGGGCAGGGGCCGGGCGGGGUUGAGGGGGGUCCGGCGGCCGCGGCCGGGAGCCCGGCCCUCCAGCCGCCCUCCUUCCUCCUCCGCCCCUUCCACGUGGGGCCCCGGGCGGCCGGCCACGUGGGGGAACUCGAGUGCGCGCGGGCCUUGGCGCAGCGCCCCAGGGUGGCCCUGGCUCCGGCGGGCCCCUCGCCAGGCCCGCGGCGCCGACCUGCCCCUUUCCCGGCCCCGCGGCUCCAACUUCCUCCCGGGCCCCUCCGCCAGCCGCUUCUGCCUUCUCAGGCCCGCGGGGUCAGGCGCGGGCCGGCCACAGGGGGCACUUGCGCUCCCCAAAUCCGGAUCCGGGAGACGCUUGCCCGCGCCUGGCCCGAGGGGCGGUGGAUGGCUGUGGGUGCGCGCGGAGGGAGCCCGAUGUGCUGGAACUCGCAGCGGUUGUGUUCCCUACGAGAAGCAAAACAUUUUUUACACAUUAAAAAAAAAAAAAAAAUGUUCCUUCCUGUUGCCUGGUUCUCGCCGGGGCUAUUUUUAAAGCCUUGCCUUUGGGUGGGAGCUCCGGGACCCGCGGGACGGAGGCGCUCUGCGGCGGGGUACACCCCCCUUCACCCAGCCCCAGAGUCGGGGACCUGGGCUCUUGCGCCGUCCCGGGGCCCCGAGGUUGGUGUCUGGACACCAAACCUGGGAUCCAGGCCGAGCGCCGGCUGCAGCUACAUCCCACGCCCGUGGCCCGCGGCUUUGGAGCGCGGUUUGCUGGAGGGACUCCGCGAUGCGGGCUGGGAGGGCUCUUUUCCCUGCGACCCAGAAGCCCACCGACUCUCAUCUUUCGCCCGCAAGAUCGGCCGCGCGUCCUCCGAGGGCCCCCGGUGUGGGCUGAACGGAGCCCUUCGUCUCGAUCUGUUUAAAAACCAUAUUGAGAUGUUACGAAGUGGAUUGAGAUGUUGA
rnacentral:lncRNA from 1 species